UGCCACAGCCAUAUCACCCUGCAGUCCAAGAUGGGUAACUCACUGAAACUAUGCAGGGCUGAGCCUGGUUAGUACCUGGAUAGGAGACCUCAUGGGAAAACUAGGUUGCUGUUGGAA
ensembl:rRNA 5S_rRNA 5S ribosomal RNA